GACGAACGCUGGCGGCGUGCCUAAUACAUGCAAGUCGAGCGGACGGAUGGGAGCUUGCUCCCAGACCGUCAGCGGCGGACGGGUGAGUAACACGUGGGCAACCUGCCUGUAAGACUGGGAUAACUCCGGGAAACCGUGGCUCAUACCGGAUAACUCUUUCCCUCACAUGAGGGAAAGCUGAAAGAUGGCAUCUCGCUAUCACUUACAGAUGGGCCCGCGGCGCAUUAGCUAGUUGGUGGGGUAACGGCUCACCAAGGCGACGAUGCGUAGCCGACCUGAGAGGGUGAUCGGCCACACUGGGACUGAGACACGGCCCAGACUCCUACGGGAGGCAGCAGUAGGGAAUCUUCCGCAAUGGACGAAAGUCUGACGGAGCAACGCCGCGUGAGUGAUGAAGGUUUUCGGAUCGUAAAACUCUGUUGUCAGGGAAGAACAAGUACCGGAGUAACUGCCGGUACCUUGACGGUACCUGACCAGAAAGCCACGGCUAACUACGUG
rnacentral:rRNA from 1 species